AGCCAUUGUCAGGAGCCUUGCUGAGUAGA
rnacentral:piRNA from 1 species